GGUUAAGCGACUAAGCGUACACGGUGGAUGCCCUGGCAGUCAGAGGCGAUGAAGGGCGUGCUAAUCUGCGAUAAGCGCCGGUAAGGUGAUAUGAACCGUUAUAACCGGCGAUACCCGAAUGGGGAAACCCAGUGUGAUUCGUCACACUAUCAUUAACUGAAUCCAUAGGUUAAUGAGGCGAACCGGGGGAACUGAAACAUCUAAGUACCCCGAGGAAAAGAAAUCAACCGAGAUUCCCCCAGUAGCGGCGAGCGAACGGGGAGGAGCCCAGAGCCUGAAUCAGCAUGUGUGUUAGUGGAAGCGUCUGGAAAGGUGCGCGAUACAGGGUGACAGCCCCGUACACAAAAGCGCAUGUGCUGUGAGCUCGAUGAGUAGGGCGGGACACGUGGUAUCCUGUCUGAAUAUGGGGGGACCAUCCUCCAAGGCUAAAUACUCCUGACUGACCGAUAGUGAACCAGUACCGUGAGGGAAAGGCGAAAAGAACCCCGGCGAGGGGAGUGAAAAAGAACCUGAAACCGUGUACGUACAAGCAGUGGGAGCCCCACCACUAAGCCAGUGGUGAACUCCACAUCCGCAUCCUUUGCUGAGGAUACGGUUAACGGAGCGAAAGCGACGUUCAACCGCAAAACAAGCAGAGGGGGCUUAGUGGUGGGGUGACUGCGUACCUUUUGUAUAAUGGGUCAGCGACUUAUAUUCUGUAGCAAGGUUAACCGAAUAGGGGAGCCGGAGGGAAACCGAGUCUUAAUUGGGCGUUAAGUUGCAGGGUAUAGACCCGAAACCCGGUGAUCUAGCCAUGGGCAGGUUGAAGGUUGGGUAACACUAACUGGAGGACCGAACCGACUAAUGUUGAAAAAUUAGCGGAUGACCUGUGGCUGGGGGUGAAAGGCCAAUCAAACCGGGAGAUAGCUGGUUCUCCCCGAAAGCUAUUUAGGUAGCGCCUCGUGAAUUCAUCUCCGGGGGUAGAGCACUGUUUCGGCUAGGGGGCCAUCCCGGCUUACCAACCCGAUGCAAACUGCGAAUACCGGAGAAUGUUAUCACGGGAGACACACGGCGGGUGCUAACGUCCGUCGUGAAGAGGGAAACAACCCAGACCGCCAGCUAAGGUCCCAAAGUCAUGGUUAAGUGGGAAACGAUGUGGGAAGGCCCAGACAGCCAGGAUGUUGGCUUAGAAGCAGCCAUCAUUUAAAGAAAGCGUAAUAGCUCACUGGUCGAGUCGGCCUGCGCGGAAGAUGUAACGGGGCUAAACCAUGCACCGAAGCUGCGGCAGCGACGCUGAUGCGUUGUUGGGUAGGGGAGCGUUCUGUAAGCCUGCGAAGGUGACCUGUGAGGGUUGCUGGAGGUAUCAGAAGUGCGAAUGCUGACAUAAGUAACGAUAAAGCGGGUGAAAAGCCCGCUCGCCGGAAGACCAAGGGUUCCUGUCCAACGUUAAUCGGGGCAGGGUGAGUCGACCCCUAAGGCGAGGCCGAAAGGCGUAGUCGAUGGGAAACGGGUUAAUAUUCCCGUACUUGGUGUUACUGCGAAGGGGGGACGGAGAAGGCUAUGUUGGCCGGGCGACGGUUGUCCCGGUUUAAGCGUGUAGGUGUGUGUUCCAGGUAAAUCCGGUUCACUUUAACACUGAGGCGUGACGACGAGGCACUACGGUGCUGAAGCAACAAAUGCCCUGCUUCCAGGAAAAGCCUCUAAGCAUCAGGUAACACGAAAUCGUACCCCAAACCGACACAGGUGGUCAGGUAGAGAAUACCAAGGCGCUUGAGAGAACUCGGGUGAAGGAACUAGGCAAAAUGGUGCCGUAACUUCGGGAGAAGGCACGCUGACACGUAGGUGAAGUGAUUUACUCAUGGAGCUGAAGUCAGUCGAAGAUACCAGCUGGCUGCAACUGUUUAUUAAAAACACAGCACUGUGCAAACACGAAAGUGGACGUAUACGGUGUGACGCCUGCCCGGUGCCGGAAGGUUAAUUGAUGGGGUCAGCGCAAGCGAAGCUCCUGAUCGAAGCCCCGGUAAACGGCGGCCGUAACUAUAACGGUCCUAAGGUAGCGAAAUUCCUUGUCGGGUAAGUUCCGACCUGCACGAAUGGCGUAAUGAUGGCCAGGCUGUCUCCACCCGAGACUCAGUGAAAUUGAACUCGCUGUGAAGAUGCAGUGUACCCGCGGCAAGACGGAAAGACCCCGUGAACCUUUACUAUAGCUUGACACUGAACAUUGAGCCUUGAUGUGUAGGAUAGGUGGGAGGCUUUGAAGUGUGGACGCCAGUCUGCAUGGAGCCGACCUUGAAAUACCACCCUUUAAUGUUUGAUGUUCUAACGUGGACCCGUAAUCCGGGUUGCGGACAGUGUCUGGUGGGUAGUUUGACUGGGGCGGUCUCCUCCUAAAGAGUAACGGAGGAGCACGAAGGUUGGCUAAUCCUGGUCGGACAUCAGGAGGUUAGUGCAAUGGCAUAAGCCAGCUUGACUGCGAGCGUGACGGCGCGAGCAGGUGCGAAAGCAGGUCAUAGUGAUCCGGUGGUUCUGAAUGGAAGGGCCAUCGCUCAACGGAUAAAAGGUACUCCGGGGAUAACAGGCUGAUACCGCCCAAGAGUUCAUAUCGACGGCGGUGUUUGGCACCUCGAUGUCGGCUCAUCACAUCCUGGGGCUGAAGUAGGUCCCAAGGGUAUGGCUGUUCGCCAUUUAAAGUGGUACGCGAGCUGGGUUUAGAACGUCGUGAGACAGUUCGGUCCCUAUCUGCCGUGGGCGCUGGAGAACUGAGGGGGGCUGCUCCUAGUACGAGAGGACCGGAGUGGACGCAUCACUGGUGUUCGGGUUGUCAUGCCAAUGGCACUGCCCGGUAGCUAAAUGCGGAAGAGAUAAGUGCUGAAAGCAUCUAAGCACGAAACUUGCCCCGAGAUGAGUUCUCCCUGAGACUUAGAGUCUCCUGAAGGAACGUUGAAGACGACGACGUUGAUAGGCCGGGUGUGUAAGCGCAGCGAUGCGUUGAGCUAACCGGUACUAAUGAACCGUGAGGCUUAACCUU
rnacentral:rRNA from 1 species